GGAUUUUUAGAAGUUUGGAUAGUUAUGUUGUGGUUUUACGUAAUUUUUUCAUUAAAUUUCUUUAUUGGGCCUUUUGUAUUGGGCUGUAGUCCAAACUGAGCAAUGAGCUAUACCAAUUUAGUGGGCUGGUAAAUUUUCUUCAAUAAUCCCUAAUCAAAAAUGGGAUAAUAAGAACAUAAGCCCAAUAUAAUGCCAUCCAUACAAACUCAGUUUAGCAGUCUGGUUUGGUAAACAGGCCAGAAAAUGACCUUUUUGUUCUUUUGGUGCUUUACUUCUUAGUCCUGUCUACCUAUUUUGCAAUAGGCCCAUAAUGUUUGUACAAUAAUCGAUAGGAGAUAAACUCAUCGGAUCCACACUCCCUUCACCGCACGCACACACAUAGAUCGGAGAAGAUGGAGGGAGAUAGAUUGAGAGAGAUAUAGGGAGAAAACGUCAUUGUUGUGGUGGAGAGAGAGAACUGGUCUGAGGAGAAAAAACAGAGAAAAACGAAAGAGGGAGAGAGAUAGAGCAUCGAGAGAGAGAGGGAUUCGAGGUCGAGAUCUGUAACAUAGAAGAAAGCGGGGUUGAUUUCGGGUUACUUGAAAACGGGUUCCGAUGGGUUUGGUAGCUGUUCCGGCGACUCCUUCGCCGGAACAUUGUCGUUCUCUCUUGACUUCUGGACGAAUCCGAUAGGGAGACGAUAAUCUCGUCGGAACAGUCCAUUUUGAACGUUUUCAAGCACCCCCAUUUAGGAAACAUUCUGCGUCUCCGGAAUCCGACUUACUUCCGUCUGUUUUGGUCACUGUUAUCUCACUGGAAUUCAAGUCGUGUGGAUUUUUUGUUUUCUACCCGAUUUUUGAAGCUUUGGGUUCGUCUAUUUUAGUGAUUCGAGAUCAAAAAUCGAACUUUGAGUUCAUUAGUCGUCGUUCUGGGUUCGUUUUUUUUUUUUUUUCAUGUCGAGGUUUGGUCCGUGUUUCUUCUUCGAAGCUGCUGUUCGGAUUUUUGGUAUUGGGUUUCGUUCGAAUUCGGUUUAAGUCGAGGUUUCGAAUCCACGAAAGCUCCUCCGUUUGACUGAAUGAAAGCGACAUUGAGCGCACAAGGUUGAGAAAUGUAUUCAUUUAAUCGGGGAAUGCCCCGAGGCCUUAUGUAUUUAUUCACCGAGGAAUGCUCCGAGGUAUCUUGUACUCGGAGGAUGCUCGUGAUUAAGGCCCGAGGUAUCGGAUAGAACCUUGGAGCAUAGUUAGGAUUAGUAUAGGCUAGAUAGGAUUCAUUUUCUCAUUUUUAUUUAUUUUGGGAUUGUAUAAUUGGACUGAACACUAUACUUUUAUUCGUUUUGUUUGGUUUGUUGGUUUGAUUGUUCUA